AGCUGAUAAAGGCAAACCAUAUGAAAAUAUGGGACGCAAAGCUACGGGUCUAAGGCGGAAUGCUAUGACAGCCGGGCUGCCGGA
rnacentral:ncRNA from 1 species